GACGAACGCUGGCGGCGUGCUUAACACAUGCAAGUCGAACGAUGAAGCCGGAGCUUGCUCUGGUGAAUUAGUGGCGAACGGGUGAGUACCACGUGAGUAACCUGCCCUUGACUCUGGGAUAACUGCUAGAAAUGGUAGCUAAUACCGGAUACGACCCUCGGAGGCAUCUUCAGGGGGUGGAAAGAAUUUCGGUCAAGGAUGGACUCGCGGCCUAUCAGCUAGUUGGUGAGGUAAUGGCUCACCAAGGCGACGACGGGUAGCCGGCCUGAGAGGGUGACCGGCCACACUGGGACUGAGACACGGCCCAGACUCCUACGGGAGGCGGCAGUGGGGAAUAUUGCACAAUGGGCGCAAGCCUGAUGCAGCAACGCCGCGUGAGGGAUGACGGCCUUCGGGUUGUAAACCUCUUUUAGUAGGGAAGAAGCGAAAGUGACGGUACCUGCAGAAAAAGCACCGGCUAACUACGUGCCAGCCGCCGCAGUAA
rnacentral:rRNA from 1 species